GAUGAACGCUGGCGGCGUGCCUAAUACAUGCAAGUCGAGCGAACAGACGAGGAGCUUGCUCCUCUGACGUUAGCGGCGGACGGGAGAGUAACACGUGGAUAACCUACCUAUAAGACUGGGAUAACUUCGGGAAACCGGAGCUAAUACCGGAUAAUAUAUUGAACCGCAUGGUUCAAUAGUGAAAGACGGUUUUGCUGUCACUUAUAGAUGGAUCCGCGCCGCAUUAGCUAGUUGGUAAGGUAACGGCUUACCAAGGGAACGAUGCGUAGCCGACCUGAGAGGGUGAUCGCCCACACUGGAGCUGAGACACGGUCCAGAGUCCUACGGGAGGCAGCAGUAGGGAAUCGUCCGCAAUGGGCGAAAGCUUGACGGAGCAACGCCGCGUGAGUGAUGAAGGUCUUCGGAUCGUAAAACUCUGUUAUUAGGGAAGAACAAAUGUGUAAGUAACUAUGCACGUCUUGACGGUACCUAAUCAGAAAGCCACGGCUAACUACGUG
rnacentral:rRNA from 1 species